GCUCCGUGGCCUAAUGGAUAAGGCAUCUGACUUCGGAUCAGAAGAUUGCGGGUUCGAGUCCCGUCGGGGUCG
rnacentral:tRNA from 1 species